rnacentral:rRNA from 1 species
CUACGGGAGGCACCAGUUAGGAAUAAUCUACAAUGCGCGAAAGCGUGAUAGUUUGAAUCAGAGUGCGCUUCAAUUUGAAGUGCUUUUGCUAAAUGUAAAAAGUUUAGCGAAUAAGGACUGGGUAAGACGAGUGCCAGCCGCCGCGUGUAAUACUCGCGGUCCAAGUCGCAGCCAUUUUUAUUGGGUCUAAAACAUCCGUAGCUUGCUUAGUAAGUUUCUCGUGAAAUCCUACAUCUCAAGUGUAGGGCGCGCGGGAAGUACUGCUUGGCUAGAGACUGGAAGGCGUAACGAGUACGUUCAAAGUAGCGGUAAAAUGUGUUAAUCUUGGACGGACUAACGAUUAGCGAAGGCACGUUACGAGGACAGUUCUGACAGUAAGGGAUGAAGGCUAGGGGCGCAAAACGGAUUAGAUACCCUCGUAGUC